GGGGUAGUUAGAUACUGGAGAAUCAGGUUAAUGGGGGUAGUUAGAUACUGGAGAAUCAGGGUAACGAGGGGAUAUGAGGAGCGAUUGGAGGUAGUUAGAUACUGGAGAAUCAGGUUAAUGGGGAGAGAUGGGAGGUAGUUAGAUACUGGAGAAUCAGGUUAACGAGGGGAUAUGAGGAGAGAUGGGAGGUAGUUAGAUACUGGAGAAUCAGGUUAAUGGGGAGAGAUGGGAGGUAGUUAGAUAUGAAGAGAGAUGGAAGGUAGUUAGAAGAUAUAAAAUGUGAAGAUUUUAACACUGAUGCCAAAGACACACUUUGAAACACCUUCACGACAGAAGCUCAAGCAGAUGGAAAAUGUGAGAUUUGACUCUGAAAGAAAUGAAUGUUUUGUCCUGAAUAGAAUGUUGCCAUUUAUAUGUCAGAGCAAAAGCUCAGCAGGAAAAUACUGUAUUACUAGAUUGGGAAUCAAAACUGUCCCCUGGGAUAUUUUUGGCAGCACAACACCGUGUCAUCUGAAUGUUAAAUCGUGAUUUAUACUGUCUAUUUACAUUUAAUUCAGACAAGAGCUGAAAUAUUAGUAACAUGCUUGUCUCUAUGGUAAUAUACAGUAUAUUAUAAUGGUAACAUAUCAUGCUUGUCUCUAUGGUAAUAUACAGUAUAUUAUAAUAUUAGUAACAUAUCAUGCUUGUCUCUAUGGUAAUAUACGGUAUAUUAUAAUAUUAGUAACAUGCUUGUCUCUCUGGUAAUAUACAGUAUAUUAUAAUAUUAGUAACAUGCUUGUCUCUAUGGUAAUAUACAGUAUAUUAUAAUAUUAGUAACAUGCUUGUCUCUAUGGUAAUAUACAGUAUAUUAUAAUAUUAGUAACAUGCUUGUCUCUAUGGUAAUAUACAGUAUAUUAUAAUGGUAACAUAUCAUGCUUGUCUCUAUGGUAAUAUACAGUAUAUUAUAAUAUUAGUAACAUGCUUGUCUCAUUGGUAAUAUACAGUAUAUUAUAAUAUUAGUAACAUGCUUGUCUCUAUGGUAAUAUACAGUAUAUUAUAAUAUUAGUAACAUGCUUGUCUCUAUGGUAAUACAGUAUAUUAUAAUAUUAGUAACAUGCUUGUCUCUAUGGUAAUAUACAGUAUAUUAUAAUAUUAGUAACAUAUCAUGCUUGUCUCUAUGGUAAUAUACAGUAUAUUAUAAUAUUAGUAACAUAUCAUGCUUGUCUCUAUGGUAAUAUACAGUAUAUUAUAAUAUUAGUAACAUGCUUGUCUCUAUGGUAAUAUACAGUAUAUUAUAAUAUUAGUAUCAUGCUUGUCUCUAUGGUAAUACAGUAUAUUAUAAUAUUAGUAACAUGCUUGUCUCUAUGGUAAUAUACAGUAUAUUAUAAUAUUAGUAACAUGCUUGUCUCUAUGGUAAUAUACAGUAUAUUAUAAUGGUAACAUAUCAUGCUUGUCUCUAUGGUAAUAUACAGUAUAUUAUAAUAUUAGUAACAUGCUUGUCUCUAUGGUAAUAUACAGUAUAUUAUAAUAUUAGUAACAUAUCAUGCUUGUCUCUGGUAAUAUACAGUAUAUUAUAAUAUUAGUAACAUGCUUGUCUCUAUGGUAAUAUACAGUAUAUUAUAGCAUUAUAGAGAUAUAUGGAGUGCAGGACUAGGACUAUAGACAGUAUAUUAUAGCGUUAUGGAGAUAUAUGGAGUGCAGGACUAGGACUAUAGACAGUAUAUUAUAGCGUUAUGGAGAUAUAUGGAGUGCAGGACUAGGACUAUAGACAGUAUAUUAUAGCGUUAUGGAGAUAUAUGGAGUGCAGGACUAGGAGUAUAUACAAGCCAGCGUCACUGUAUUACAAUUAAUAGCUAUUGAGUUAAUGAAUAUAUUUAUUCCAUAUCAUGAUUAUGUCUUUCACUACUGUAGAGAGAGAAUUCUCCCCUUUAAAAACUUCUAGUAUGUGCUUGGCCAUUCUGAGCCUUAUGAGUCGAUGGUCUACCAUUCUGAGCCUUAUGAGUCGAUGGUCUACCAUUCUGAGCCUUAUGAAUGGAUGGUCUACCAUUCUGAGCCUUAUGAAUGGAUGGUCUACCAUUCUGAGCCUUGUGGAUGGAUGGUCUACCAUUCUGAGCCUUGUGGAUGGAUGGUCUACCAUUCUGAGCCUUGUGGAUG
ensembl:lncRNA